UCAGUGCGCAGGCGCGACCGUAGUUCCCGCGGAACUCGGCUGCGGGUUUGCCCAGGGUCGGGUCGGGAGGGCGCCUGACCUCCUUGAGUGUGAAGGCUGUGCAGGGAUGGCUGGAGGAGCAAAAGGCUGGGACAAGACAGCAGAGAACGGGAAGACGAGACCGCCCCGGUGCACUUCGGCCUGGGCGCAGCGCUGAGCCUAGGACCGUGGUCUUUGCAUCUCCAUACGGUGUCACUAGCAUUUGGUUAUGUACAGUAAUACAAGGUCGGAGGAUGGAGCGGCCAUGCGGUGCACUUGUCCUGUCUAGUGUGAUGGUGCUGGGGGUGGAAGCCCAAGCCGGUGUGUACUCACACGGUUCUCGUUCUUCCUGUGUAGGAAGAUCACAGAGUGACAGCUCUGGACACAGUCCUAGUUUGGCACUUGAUGCCCCAGGGUAGCAGAGAGCCACUGGCACUGCCUUCAGAGAGCCCACUGGACAAAGCCGCGUGUCCAGGAAGAUCUGGGAAGCAGAUUUAAGAGUGUGGAAUUAAGGGCUAAAAGAGGCGUGUUGCUGAGACUGAUAACUAGCAUGAUGAACUGAUGUCCCAGAGAGUGACAGAGCCCCACCUGUAAGCAGGGGAAGACACAAAUUACCUGCUUUACCAAAAGCCUGGGGUGUAGGCUAAAAGAUGGCUCGGUCAGUACUGAACCUACAGUCCAUUUAUCCACCUGGCACCCUGGGUUACUCCGUCAUAUUGAACCUUCAGCACUCCCUGGCCUUUUCUCUUGCUUGGCUAAACCCAAAACCCUGGUAAAACCCAGCUAGUUUCCUCACGGGACCCCUUCUUAUUUUGGAGUCAGACUAGUCCAGUACUUUUCCCCUUUGGCCUCUGGAGCACAGAAAUCACAGGCGCAGUGUGCACAGGGAUGCCGGCCUGCGUGUCACAGGCGCAGUGUGCACAGGGAUGCCGGCCUGCGUGUCACAGGCGCAGUGUGCACAGGGAUGCCGGCCUGCGUGUCACAGGCGCAGUGUGCACAGGGAUGCCGGCCUGCGUGUCACAGGCGCAGUGUGCACAGGGAUGCCGGCCUGCGUGUCACAGGCGCAGUGUGCACAGGGAUGCCGGCCUGCGUGUCACAGGCCCAGUGUGCACAGGGAUGCCGGCCUGCGUGUCACAGGCCCAGUGUGCACAGGGAUGCCGGCCUGCGUGUCACAGGCCCAGUGUGCACAGGGAUGCCGGCCUGCGUGUCACAGGCGCAGUGUGCACAGGGAUGCUGGCCUGCGUGUCACAGGCGCAGUGUGCACAGGGAUGCCGGCCUGCGUGUCACAGGCGCAGUGUGCACAGGGAUGCUAGCCUUAUUUCUGUAGUUCUUUACUACAUCUUAGGCAAGCUCUUGUGUAAAAGCAGGAGCAGCUUUGGCUCCCACACCCAUGCAUCCUGAAACUCCUUCCAAAUGACUCGUCCCUGACCCAGCAGAGUUCCCAUUCCAGAUGAACAGCCCCCAUAUCCUCCACCCACCUUCUACAAUGAAAGGACUCCACUCCAGAAUCUCUCUCGUUGGGCUCCUGUCAGUAGACUGAUAGACUGCCUAUCAGUGGUUUUGAAACGCCCCAGCCGGGACAUCACGAAUUCCUGGGAUACAUAGCAAUCCUGCCUCAAAAACAAGGGUAGAAUCCCAUUGUGGCCCCACCUUCCCAGCUAACCCCUUCGCUGAAGGGCUUCUCUCAGAAUCUUCCCGUGACGGACUGUGACUGACAGACAGACCGCUGCUCCCAGCCCCGCCCCGCCCCGCCCCAGCGCCGCCCUUCAUCCCUCCCGUCUGCCUCGCUCACUUCCAUUUCACUGGGCCCUCUUCCUGAUUCCUCCUCAGCUCCCCGAGGGAUGCCUUGAAGCCCAGGCCGCCUCUUCCGCCCUGGAGGCAGCUCACAACUGCCUGGAGAAACCUCUGCCGCCCGUUUCUCUCCCAAGCCUUAACCUUGAACUUAAGAACGCCAUUGCUGGCUUCUGUUGUCUGCGGUUCAGGGCUUUAUUAGUGGUGUGUGUGAGCAUGCGUGUGCGUGUGUCGGCCAAAAGUCAGUCAGUGUAUUCCUCAGAUCACACCUCCCUUCCUCCCCGAGGAACCACCACCCUCCGCUGACACCUUAGGGUUUCACUCUAGCGCAGGCUGGCCAGCCUGGGUUUUAUUUUCUUUUUACGACAGGAUCUUGCUGUGUAGCACAGGCUAGCCUCAAACUUAAAACCUCUUACCUAAGGCUCCUGAGUGCUGAGAUUGCUGGCUGUGCCCGGCUGCCUUCAGUGUCUGUCAAGUCUUUAGUCUCAGCUCUGCCCUCCCCUUAGGCACACUGUCCUCACCUUCCUAGUCGCUGUAAAGGUCGGUCCUGCCUUACCCCGUGGAGGCGGGAAAGGUGCCUGCUGCCUAGAGGCUCCCGCACCCUUCACCCUGAAACUCUCUUGCUCCAGGCUUCUGCCCUGCUCACCCCUCGGCUCUCCGUGGCCCCCUUCCCAGCACUUCCUGACCCUGGUUUUGGUUGGGUUUUGUUUGCCCCCUGCAGUCAGUAAGGCUGCCAGCCACUCAGCGACAUUGUGUGUGGCCUGCUGUGUCCCUCUGAAGAUGGAGACCAGCUAUCUAUGUGCCUGGCUGCCCGCUACAGUCCUGCAGCUUAGCAGGCGGCCGUGUGCUGACGGCUUGGUGCUGGCCUCUUGUGAACUUGAGAGGCCGGAGCUUGAGUUGCUAACCUGAGCUCCGGGGUGAGGAGCUCCGGCAGAGCCUGCCUGCCUGUGAAGCGAGCCCUGGGCCUGCAGUACAGAGGGAGGACCAAGUCGGCGUCCUGCGCCUACGGGGACCACCGCAGUCAGAAGUGCGGUGAGGGCUGUGGGGCAGCAGGGGGCGCUGCUGGGCUGGGGGACCCAGAGUGCAGCAGAAGGCAGAGAAUCCAUCAGGGUGACACGCAGCCCUGCUGAGGCACGUCUGGGCACCAGGUUAGCAGCCCAAAGAGGGGACAAGGACCUGAGACCAUCUGAGAAAGGACGGUAGUGGGAAGCAGAAUGGGAGGCAGCGCCCUGCAGAGGAAGGCCAGGAGGUGACUGGGGCCCGAGAGGAAGGCCAGGAGGUGAUUGGGGCCCCAGAGGAAGGCCAGGAGGUGACUGGGGCCCCAGAGGAAGGCCAGGAGGUGAUUGGGGCCCCAGAGGAAGGCCAGGAGGUGAUUGGGGCCCCAGAGGAAGGCCAGGAGGUGAUUGGAGCCCCAGAGGAAGGCCAGGAGGUGAUUGGGGCCCCAGAGGAAGGCCAGGAGGUGAUUGGGGCCCCAGAGGAAGGCCAGGAGGUGAUUGGGGCCCCAGAGGAAGGCCAGGAGGUGAUUGGGGCCCCAGAGGAAGGCCAGGAGGUGACUGGGGCCCGAGAGGAAGGCCAGGAGGUGAUUGGGGCCCCAGAGGAAGGCCAGGAGGUGAUUGGGGCCCCAGAGGAAGGCCAGGAGGUGACUGGGGCCCCAGAGGAAGGCCAGGAGGUGAUUGGAGCCCUGAAGAUUGUUUUUGUUGUUAAUGUGUCUGAGGUGACAUUUGGACAUACGGGUUUAGGUGCCAGAUAAGGGCAGAGCGAGAGCACUGGGCCCUGGGGUGGAGCUGCAGGCGGAGGUUGCCGGCUGCCCACGCCCAGUUUUUGCAGGAUUGGUACAUGCUGAGCCACCCCGCUAGCCAGCUUGUUUGGUUUGGUUUUCAAGGCAGGGUUUCCGUGUUGUCCUUGCUGUCCUUUAGACCAGACUGGCCUUGAACUUGGAGAUCUGCCUGCCUCUGCCUCCCAAGUGCUGAGGUCACAGGGGCACCACAGCACCUGCAGUGGAGUAUGUUUUAAUGCCGUGAAACAGGACGGAGGCCACCCAGCGAGGCCAGGCAUGUGGCUGAGGGGCAAACUGGGCACAGGCUGCGGGGUUUCUCUUCCUAGCCCCUCCGAAGGGUCAGGCUUGUCCGCGAUGGGUCACCUACCCAAGGCUUACCACG